rnacentral:tRNA from 1 species
CCAUCGGUGGUUCAGUGGCAGAAUGCUCGCCUGCCACGCGGGCGGCCCCGGGUUCGAUUCCCGGCCGAUGCA